rnacentral:RNase_P_RNA from 1 species
GGAGUCGGCCAGACAGUCGCCGCGCUACCCAGCGCGGAGGAAAGUCCGGGCUCCAUAGGGCAGGGUGCCAGGUAACGCCUGGGCGCUAUAAGCCGCAAGGCCCAAGGCGACGGAAAGUGCAACAGAAACAUACCGCCGAUGGCCGGUUGCAAGACCGGAUCAGGCAAGGUUGAAAUCGUGCGGUAAGAGCGCACGGCUGCACUGGCAACAGAUGCAGCGGGCAAACCCCACCCGGAGCAAGGCCAAAUAGGCAGACGUUGAGGCGGCCCGCCGAGUCUGCGGGUAGGCUGCUUGAGGCGCGCAGUGAUGCGCGUCCCAGAUGAAUGACUGUCCACGACAAAACCCGGCUUAUCGGUCGGCUCCAUUU